AGCGAACGCUGGCGGCAGGCCUAACACAUGCAAGUCGAGCGCCCAGCAAUGGGAGCGGCAGACGGGAGAGUAACACGUGGGAACGUGCCCUUUGGUUCGGAAUAACUCAGGGAAACUUGAGCUAAUACCGGAUAAGCCCUUACGGGGAAAGAUUUAUUGCCAAAGGAGCGGCCCGCGUCCGAUUAGCUAGUUGGUGAGGUAAUGGCUCACCAAGGCGACGAUCGGUAGCUGGUCNGAGAGGAUGACCAGCCUCAUUGGGACUGAGACACGGCCCAAACUCCUACGGGAGGCAGCAGUGGGGAAUAUUGGACAAUGGGCGCAAGCCUGAUCCAGCCAUGCCGCGUGAGUGAUGAAGGCCUUAGGGUCGUAAAGCUCUUUUGUGCGGGAAGAUAAUGACGGUACCGCAAGAAUAAGCCCCGGCUAACUUCGUGCCAGCCGCCGCUGU
rnacentral:rRNA from 1 species